rnacentral:rRNA from 1 species
GGGACACGUGGUAUCCUGUCUGAAUAUGGGGGGACCAUCCUCCAAGGCUAAAUACUCCUGACUGACCGAUAGUGAACCAGUACCGUGAGGGAAAGGCGAAAAGAACCCCGGCGAGGGGAGUGAAAAAGAACCUGAAACCGUGUACGUACAAGCAGUGGGAGCCUCUUUAUGGGGUGACUGCGUACCUUUUGUAUAAUGGGUCAGCGACUUAUAUUCUGUAGCAAGGUUAACCGAAUAGGGGAGCCGAAGGGAAACCGAGUCUUAACUGGGCGUUAAGUUGCAGGGUAUAGACCCGAAACCCGGUGAUCUAGCCAUGGGCAGGUUGAAGGUUGGGUAACACUAACUGGAGGACCGAACCGACUAAUGUUGAAAAAUUAGCGGAUGACUUGUGGCUGGGGGUGAAAGGCCAAUCAAACCGGGAGAUAGCUGGUUCUCCCCGAAAGCUAUUUAGGUAGCGCCUCGUGAAUUCAUCUCCGGGGGUAGAGCACUGUUUCGGCAAGGGGGUCAUCCCGACUUACCAACCCGAUGCAAACUGCGAAUACCGGAGAAUGUUAUCACGGGAGACACACGGCGGGUGCUAACGUCCGUCGUGAAGAGGGAAACAACCCAGACCGCCAGCUAAGGUCCCAAAGUCAUGGUUAAGUGGGAAACGAUGUGGGAAGGCCCAGACAGCCAGGAUGUUGGCUUAGAAGCAGCCAUCAUUUAAAGAAAGCGUAAUAGCUCACUGGUCGAGUCGGCCUGCGCGGAAGAUGUAACGGGGCUAAACCAUGCACCGAAGCUGCGGCAGCGACGCUUAUGCGUUGUUGGGUAGGGGAGCGUUCUGUAAGCCUGCGAAGGUGUGCUGUGAGGCAUGCUGGAGGUAUCAGAAGUGCGAAUGCUGACAUAAGUAACGAUAAAGCGGGUGAAAAGCCCGCUCGCCGGAAGACCAAGGGUUCCUGUCCAACGUUAAUCGGGGCAGGGUGAGUCGACCCCUAAGGCGAGGCCGAAAGGCGUAGUCGAUGGGAAACAGGUUAAUAUUCCUGUACUUGGUGUUACUGCGAAGGGGGGACGGAGAAGGCUAUGUUGGCCGGGCGACGGUUGUCCCGGUUUAAGCGUGUAGGCUGGUUUUCCAGGCAAAUCCGGAAAAUCAAGGCUGAGGCGUGAUGACGAGGCACUACGGUGCUGAAGCAACAAAUGCCCUGCUUCCAGGAAAAGCCUCUAAGCAUCAGGUAACAUCAAAUCGUACCCCAAACCGACACAGGUGGUCAGGUAGAGAAUACCAAGGCGCUUGAGAGAACUCGGGUGAAGGAACUAGGCAAAAUGGUGCCGUAACUUCGGGAGAAGGCACGCUGAUAUGUAGGUGAAGCGACUUGCUCGUGGAGCUGAAAUCAGUCGAAGAUACCAGCUGGCUGCAACUGUUUAUUAAAAACACAGCACUGUGCAAACACGAAAGUGGACGUAUACGGUGUGACGCCUGCCCGGUGCCGGAAGGUUAAUUGAUGGGGUCAGCGCAAGCGAAGCUCUUGAUCGAAGCCCCGGUAAACGGCGGCCGUAACUAUAACGGUCCUAAGGUAGCGAAAUUCCUUGUCGGGUAAGUUCCGACCUGCACGAAUGGCGUAAUGAUGGCCAGGCUGUCUCCACCCGAGACUCAGUGAAAUUGAACUCGCUGUGAAGAUGCAGUGUACCCGCGGCAAGACGGAAAGACCCCGUGAACCUUUACUAUAGCUUGACACUGAACAUUGAGCCUUGAUGUGUAGGAUAGGUGGGAGGCUUGGAAGUGUGGACGCCAGUCUGCAUGGAGCCGACCUUGAAAUACCACCCUUUAAUGUUUGAUGUUCUAACGUUGACCCGUAAUCCGGGUUGCGGACAGUGUCUGGUGGGUAGUUUGACUGGGGCGGUCUCCUCCUAAAGAGUAACGGAGGAGCACGAAGGUUGGCUAAUCCUGGUCGGACAUCAGGAGGUUAGUGCAAUGGCAUAAGCCAGCUUGACUGCGAGCGUGACGGCGCGAGCAGGUGCGAAAGCAGGUCAUAGUGAUCCGGUGGUUCUGAAUGGAAGGGCCAUCGCUCAACGGAUAAAAGGUACUCCGGGGAUAACAGGCUGAUACCGCCCAAGAGUUCAUAUCGACGGCGGUGUUUGGCACCUCGAUGUCGGCUCAUCACAUCCUGGGGCUGAAGUAGGUCCCAAGGGUAUGGCUGUUCGCCAUUUAAAGUGGUACGCGAGCUGGGUUUAGAACGUCGUGAGACAGUUCGGUCCCUAUCUGCCGUGGGCGCUGGAGAACUGAGGGGGGCUGCUCCUAGUACGAGAGGACCGGAGUGGACGCAUCACUGGUGUUCGGGUUGUCAUGCCAAUGGCACUGCCCGGUAGCUAAAUGCGGAAGAGAUAAGUGCUGAAAGCAUCUAAGCACGAAACUUGCCCCGAGAUGAGUUCUCCCUGACCCUUUAAGGGUCCUGAAGGAACGUUGAAGACGACGACGUUGAUAGGCCGGGUGUGUAAGCGCAGCGAUGCGUUGAGCUAACCGGUACUAAUGAAC